rnacentral:rRNA from 1 species
UACGUAGGGUGCGAGCGUUAAUCGGAAUUACUGGGCGUAAAGUGUGCGCAGGUGGCCGCGCAAGUCGAGUGUGAAAUCCCCGAGCUUAACUUGGGAAUUGCGCUCGAAACUACGUGGCUCGAGUGUGGCAGAGGAAGGUGGAAUUCCACGUGUAGCGGUGAAAUGCGUAGAGAUGUGGAGGAACACCGAUGGCGAAGGCAGCCCCCUGGGCUAACACUGACGCUCAGGCACGAAAGCGUGGGGAGCAAACAGG